UACUCCGUGAAUCGGAGG
rnacentral:snRNA from 1 species